GAGAAAUUAGUUAAAAUAUAAUAUAAAAUUGUCGGUUUUAUGUUACUAAUAAAAUUAGUAUUUCUUA
rnacentral:tRNA from 1 species